ensembl:lncRNA
UAGGACUCAGAUGGUAAAGCGUCUGCCUACAAUGUGGGAGACCCAGGUUCGAUCCCUGGGUUGGGAAGAUCCUCUGGAGAAGGAAAUGGAAACCUGCUUCAGUACUCUUGCCUGGAAAAUCCCAUGGACUGAGGAGACUGGUAGGCUACAAUCCAUGGGGUCGCAAAGAGUCGGACAUGACUGAGCGACUUCACUUUUCACUUAGGUGGUUCUAAGGAAGAAGCAAUAAACAUGUAUAUCAGCUAAUUGUCCAAAUUGUAGAUGUCAACAAGACUAUCCUGGAUCAGUUCUCUAAGAGUAGCUUUCACAUCGGGCGGUGCAGAAGGAGAGAGCCCUUGAAGGUCAACCAUGUGUUCUCCAGCCUUGAGAAGGGUGUUCGCUUUGUGUCUGUGGAACAGUGGAUCUUAGUCAUGGAUCUCAACAAUGAGCCAAGUGGAGUCGAACUUACCAACGCCAGUUUGCUCAACUCCAGUUUGAUUGUGCAGGUCGCCUAUCCUAGUCAAGAGCUAUCCUUGGAGAACAACCACCCCACGGAUGUCAGGAACUUUGCGUGCGGGCACACCGUUUCUCUAAUUAAGGACUUGUAGUUCCUGGCCAUCCUGGGAUCUCUUGGGUCCAGUUGAGGGUCCUACUAGAAGAAAAUUCCUGCUACUUCUAUAAGGCAGGCCCUGUUCUUCUGAUUGGAAACCCAUGGGUGAGCACAGGGAAAGGCUGGGUCAUGAAAGGGCUCCUCACCAGGGGCCCUCUGGUUCAGCCCCCCUGCCCUCUGCCCUGGUCUCCUCCCAGGCCUGCUGUAGAGGCUCACUGGUCCCGUGCAGGAAGCCCCCUCCUCAUGUCUGAACUGGAAGCUCAUUCCUAUGACCAAGAAAAUUCCAGCCCCCGUAGGGGAUGAAUUUCAUUUUGUGAGGUUUUAAGACCAGGACCAAGACUCACAGCUGAGAGUGAACCAACUCAAAAAAUGUUUGGAGACAGAGGGUUCUGCCCACCCUGUGAACAAUGAUGUGGUCCCCUGAGCCCAACCCUAUCCUGGAUCGUGUGGUGUAUAAAAUAGUUACAUUUUGAAAUUCUUUUAAAUAUGGAGAGAAUAAAU